rnacentral:tRNA from 1 species
GCCGGGGUAGCUCAAAGGUAGAGCAGCCGCCUUGUAAGCGGCAGGUUGUCCGUUCGAUUCGGAUCCUCGGCUCCA